rnacentral:rRNA from 1 species
UACGAAGGGGGCUAGCGUUGCUCGGAAUUACUGGGCGUAAAGGGAGCGUAGGCGGACAUUUAAGUCAGGGGUGAAAUCCCGGGGCUCAACCUCGGAAUUGCCUUUGAUACUGGGUGUCUUGAGUAUGAGAGAGGUGUGUGGAACUCCGAGUGUAGAGGUGAAAUUCGUAGAUAUUCGGAAGAACACCAGUGGCGAAGGCGACACACUGGCUCAUUACUGACGCUGAGGCUCGAAAGCGUGGGGAGCAAACAGGAUUAGAUACCCUGGUAGUCCACGCCGUAAACGAUGAUUGCUAGUUGUCGGGAUGCAUGCAUUUCGGUGACGCAGCUAACGCAUUAAGCAAUCCGCCUGGGGAGUACGGUCGCAAGAUUAAA